UAGGGAAUAUUGGGCAAUGGAGGGAACUCUGACCCAGCCAUGCCGCGUGCAGGAUGAAGGCGUUAUGCGUUGUAAACUGCUUUUAUAUAGGAAGAAAUAGUCCUUGCGAGGAAAGUUGACGGUACUAUAUGAAUAAGCACCGGCUAACUCCGUGCCAGCAGCCGCGGUAAUACGGAGGGUGCAAGCGUUGUCCGGAUUUAUUGGGUUUAAAGGGUGCGUAGGCGGUUUAUUAAGUCAGUGGUGAAAGACGGUCGCUCAACGAUUGCAGUGCCAUUGAUACUGGUAGACUUGAGUAUGAUUGAGGUAGCUGGAAUGGAUAGUGUAGCGGUGAAAUGCAUAGAUAUUAUCCAGAACACCAAUUGCGUAGGCAAGUUACUAAGUCAUAACUGACGCUGAGGCUCGAAAGCGUGGGGAGCAAACAGGAUUAGAUACCCCGGUAGUCCCUGAGCGGGCUGGCAAGGCGCAU
rnacentral:rRNA from 1 species